rnacentral:rRNA from 1 species
UAUUAUGAGAGUUUGAUCCUGGCUCAGGACGAACGCUGGCGGCGUGCCUAAUACAUGCAAGUCGAACGCUUCUUUCCUCCCGAGUGCUUGCACUCAAUUGGAAAGAGGAGUGGCGGACGGGUGAGUAACACGUGGGUAACCUACCCAUCAGAGGGGGAUAACACUUGGAAACAGGUGCUAAUACCGCAUAACAGUUUAUGCCGCAUGGCAUAAGAGUGAAAGGCGCUUUCGGGUGUCGCUGAUGGAUGGACCCGCGGUGCAUUAGCUAGUUGGUGAGGUAACGGCUCACCAAGGCCACGAUGCAUAGCCGACCUGAGAGGGUGAUCGGCCACACUGGGACUGAGACACGGCCCAGACUCCUACGGGAGGCAGCAGUAGGGAAUCUUCGGCAAUGGACGAAAGUCUGACCGAGCAACGCCGCGUGAGUGAAGAAGGUUUUCGGAUCGUAA